rnacentral:lncRNA from 1 species
CCAAUAUCUCACAUCAAUAAUCUUCAAUCACAUGUGUCAUGAACAAAUAUCAAUUUACAGUUAUUCAUACACAAUUACCAAUUACAUAUAUCAUGAAGUAGAUUCAUCAAGUGUAUAACACAGUAAGCAAGAUAUGCAAUUACAGCAUAGAUCAUUUAUCUACAACCAUUAACAAAUUCACCAAUGUACAUAUACACAAUCCACAUAGAUCAUAUCAUUCAACAAUCAGUAGAAUCAUCACAAUUAAUCAUGAACAACCACCACGUUCAUCAACCACAUUCACAACUAGGACUCAUGCCACAAUCAUGUUAUGAUCCUAGACACGACACUAUAUGCAUGCGGUACUGAUCAUCACCAAUAUUUAGGCCGUCGCCCAUGAUGCCGACAGAACAUCAUAAUCAUCACCAAUAUCAUCACCAUUUGGAUAUAUAAAAAUAUCCGUCUCCAUCAGUCAUGUAUGCAUGAACAUAUGACUCAAUAACAAUGCAUAUGUUCAUACAACAACUCACCAUAUCAUCACCACUAUUACUUGCAUAAAUGCAUUCACACCAAUUCAUCAUUUCUCGACAUAUAUGCACUCACCAACAACUCACAACAUCAUAUAUAUAUU